UAGGGAAUUUUCCACAAUGGGGGCAACCCUGAUGGAGCAACGCCGCGUGCAGGAUGAAUGCCUUCGGGUUGUAAACUGCUUUUAUUAGUGACGAUUAUGACGGUAACUAAUGAAUAAGGACCUGCUAACUACGUGCCAGCAGCCGCGGUCAUACGUAGGGUCCAAGCGUUAUCCGGAAUUACUGGGCGUAAAGAGUUGCGUAGGUGGCAGAGUAAGUAGAUAGUGAAAGCGUGUGGCUCAACCAUACAUCCAUUAUCUAAACUGCUCAGCUAGAGGACGAGAGAGGUAGAUGGAAUUCCUGAUGUAGGGGUAAUAUCCGUAGAUAUCAGGAGGAACACCGAUGGCGUAAGCAGUCUACUGGCUCGUUCCUGACACUAAGGCACGAAAGCGUGGGGAGCAA
rnacentral:rRNA from 1 species